ensembl:lncRNA
UACAGUAUCACCAGAAUUGUUUUAAGACUAAGGGUAUACUGUGCAACGUUCAUAAGGUCUGAAUGCCUUAUAUGGAAUACUGUACAACAAAGGAGUCUGUAUUGAAAACAUGCCCAUGUCAGGGGAGAUACCUAUUUAGGCAAUCCCUAGCUGCUGGGCUGCUCAGUUCUGGCCCUGGGGGUCUGUUGUACUGUUGUCACUCCGGCCUUGGCCUAACACACCUGAAAGCUGAGUGGGGGGUGUUGGUUUGGGGCAUUACAGGGCCGAGGACCCCUAGAGACGGGGUGACCCAGCUAUAUUGUGUGCAAGUAAAAAGAGCUCUACAGUACUAUUAGGCCUGUGAUAUGAAUUAUAUGGAGGGUGUACUGUUUCUGUGUGUUAAUGUGUAGGUGUAUGUGUGUUUUCAUUCAACUCUUGUUUUCCAAACCUUUCCUUUGAGACAUAAAGAAAAGAUGGGAAGGAAGUUGUGUUGGGCAAAGAGUUGAGUUAUUGACUAGACUGGUGGGGGUCUGGCGUGCAGGCGGCUCGGGUUGGCUGUCUUAAAGACAAAAGUUGUCUUUGUACUUGAUUUGUAAGAGUUGUUAAUUUUUUAGGCUAUUGUUUAAUUUUUUUUUUUAACAAAUCAAAAUAUAUUUUAGAUUUUAGAUUCUUCAAAGUAGCCACCCUUUGCCUUGACGACAGCUUUGCUCACUCUUGGCAUUCUCUCAACCAGCUUCAUGACACACACACACAAAUGAUGCAGACAAUUACAUUGAUGGAAGCCACAAUCUAUCUGCAAUAUUAAAGCUGAUCUACUCCCUAAAAAAAAUGAAAUAAAAACUUCCGUUUUGUAGUUAGGUCCAAUGAGAAUUUAAAAAACGUUAUUUAUCCCUCAGGGUCAACUAUUUGGCCACGUGAGUCAGCAGCAACAACAACAACAACAACAACAACAACAAACCACAACUGAUAUACUACACACAGCAAAUUCAAUGAGUAAUUCCUGUUAUCUUAUCUGUCAGUGGUUUCCUAACCACACGGAGUGUUGAUGUGUUGAUAAGGGUCUUCCUGGUAUUACCG